rnacentral:rRNA from 1 species
GACGAACGCUGGCGGCGUGCUUAACACAUGCAAGUCGAACGAAGUGGCGAACGGGUGAGUAAUGCGUGGGUAACCUGCCCUCUUUUUUGGGAUAAGCCAUGGAGACGGAGUAUAAUACCGACUAAAGGGGGAUGGGGUGGCGGCCUAUCUGCUUGUUGGUGGGGUGAUGGCCUAAGGAGGCGGUGACGGGUAGCCGGCCUGGGGAGGGGACAGGGCACUUUGGGACUUGGGACCGGCCCAGGAGACUUAGGGGGGGAGCAGGGGGGGGUAAUGGACAAUGGGGGAAAGGCUGAUGCAGCGAACGCGCGUGGGGGGUUGAGGCCUUCGGGUUUUAAACCUUUUUCGGUAUCGAACGGGUAGGUGGAGAAGAAGCGCCGGCUAACUACGUGCCAGCAGCCGCGGUAAUUC